rnacentral:rRNA from 1 species
CCGACGGUGAGAGAUGAAGGCUGGGGGCGCAAACCGGAGGAGAUACCCGGGUAGUCCCAGCAGUAAACGAUGCCAGCUAUGUGUUGCUGGAACCAUGGGUUCCAGCAGUGCCGAAGGGAAGCCGUGAAGCUGGCCACCUGGGAAGUACGGUCGCAAGGCUGAAACUUAAAGGAAUUGGCGGGGGAGUACCACAACCGGUGGAGCCUGCGGUUUAAUUGGAUACAACGCCGGGAAUCUUACCGGAGGGGACAGCAGUAUGAAGGCCAGGCUAAAGACCUUGCCAGAUCAGCUGAGAGGAGGUGCAUGGCCGUCGCCAGUUCGUACCGUGAGGCAUCCUGUUUAGUCAGGCAACGAUCGAGACCCGCAGUCUUAUUUGCCAGCAUGCCCUUUGGGGUGUAUGGGUACAAUAAGACGACCGCCAGCGCUAAGCUGGAGGAAGGAGCGGGCUACGGUAGGUCAGCAUGCCCCGAAUCCUCCGGGAUACACGCGGGCUACAAUGGUCAGGACAAAAGGUACCGACCUCGAAAGAGUGAGGUAAUCCACAAACCUGAUCUCAGUCCGGAUCGAAGGCUGCAACUCGCCUUCGUGAAGAUGGAAUCGGUAGUAAUCGUGACUCAAAAU